GGGAUUGAUUGAAAUACCCAAUCUUUCUGAGGAAAAUGAAGUAGAUGACACUGAGGUCAACGUGAGUAAAAAGAAAGGAGAUGGGGUUGUACUGAAGGAUCUUAUGAAAACUGCAGGCACUGCCAAGGUCAGGGAGGCCCUUGGAGAUUACCUGAAGGCACUUAAGACGGAAUUUACAACGGGAAUGAUUUUACCAACGAAAGCUAUGGCAACCCAGGAAUUGACUGUCAAAAGAAAACUGAGUGGGAAUACCCUGCAGGUUCAGGCCUCAUCUCCAGUGGCACUGGGUGUAAGGAUUCCCACGGUGGCUCUUCACAUGAUGGAACUGUUUGACACAACUGUAGAGCAGCUGUAUAGCAUCUUCACUGUAAAGGAUGUAAGUAACUCCCUAAGCUAGCAUGUUAAGUGCUGACAUUGGGAGAAAAUACAUUACAAAGAACAGGAGCUGGUUUUUGGUUUUCCUUGUGGCUGUGUUUUUGAUUGAAGGGAUGUGGGAUGGUGGUG
rnacentral:sRNA from 1 species